rnacentral:tRNA from 1 species
GGGGCUGUAGCUCAGCUGGGAGAGCGUCUGGCUGGCAGCCAGAAGGCCACGGGUUCGAGUCCCGUCAGCUCCA